AGGAUGAAUAAGAGAUACUUACAGAAAGCAACAAAAGGAAAACUGCUAAUAAUAAUAUUUGUUGUAACGCUGUGGGGAAAAUUAGCAUCCGGGGCAAAUCAUCAUAAAGCUCACCAUGUUAAAACUGGGACCUGUGAAGUGGUGGCACUCCACAGAUGUUGCAAUAAGAACAAGAUAGAAGAAAGAUCACAGACGGUGAAGUGCUCCUGCUUCCCUGGGCAGGUAGCAGGUACCACCCGGGCAGCUCCUUCUUGUGUCGAUGCUUCAAUAGUGGAGCAGAAAUGGUGGUGCCACAUGCAACCAUGUCUUGAAGGGGAGGAAUGUAAAGUUCUUCCAGAUCGUAAGGGAUGGAGCUGUUCCUCUGGGAAUAAAGUGAAAACAACUAGGGCAAACGUGUAAAAGUCCUCAAGUCCGAAUGGAGAAGUAGAGAAAGGAGGUUUCUGCUGUGCCUGAUGACAAUUUUUGAUUUUUCCACACACACAAAAUAUUCUGGCUCCACGUUGGAGCACUAGUUGUGAUGAAUCCUAGUCUUGGUCGGAUUCUAAGGAAGGGCCAGAACGUUCGUUGAGGAAUAAAGAGUCAAACAACUCCAGAAAAUGUGUUCCAGCCCUGGUUUAUUACUCACAGAGCAGCAGGUAACCCGAUAGCUAAAGACAAAUCAAGUCAGUCUCAAGGCUGAUAACAUUAAAUACAACACAUAGGAAUUUCAUUCCUCCAGGCAAUCCUUGAAGUAAAAUUUUAUACUGCUGGGGUGUAUCCUUCAAAAUCAAUUGUUUCAUUGAGAACCUGGCUUGUAAUCAGCAACAGCCUUGAGAUCAAAACUACUGGAAAGUUAUUCUGAACUUCUGUGUCACAAAGAUUUCAACUGAUUGAACUGUGUACACUUGUAAAAUUGCACUUGCUGAGGAAUUUGCAGCUGUAAUCACAAGAGUUGAUAUUCAAAGGUUGCAGAAACGCAUCAAUCUUUUGGAUUCUCCAUUGCAGACCGGUGGCUUUUCAUCUUGAUGAACUCAACCUCCAAAAUGUAAUGGUUCCUUGUCUCUAAAAUGAUCCCUGGCCCACCAUUCAGAUUCCUGGUGGAACUGCACAGUGCUUUAAUUAAAUUUCUGUUGCAGAAAUUGUCCUCUGGCAUGGCGCAGUUUUAGACAUUUUUAUUUGUAUUCUAAUCUUGGAAUUCUCAAAGGUACAUAUUUCAACAUCUUGAAGUUGCUUUUGUUAUAGGAAUGGAAAUAUAUAUCCAUUGUUAAUAAUUAUUGUUGACAAGUAAUAGUUAUCUGAAUGCAUCAGUCAUAUUAGAAUGUACAGUCAGGUUGACAUGUUUUGCUAAGGCUAACCAACUACUGCAGCUCUGGCAGUGGUCAAAACUCAAUUAACACUUCCAUUAUAAGGCAUUUUAUACCUUUAAGAUACACAUUUCCAUUUAGUUUGAAGGAGAUGGGUGUUCCUGAUAUGUACUUUACUUUCCCAACCUUCAAUUCAUUGAAAUUCAUGAUAAGCCGUCAAUGACAGUAUUUCAUCCCUUUUUAUAAAGGUAGGCAGGGGUGUAAAUGAGUUUUGCAAUUAUGAAAAUGGAUGGUAAUCAUUCAGAUUUUUUGUCUUUUUAUUAAAAAUAAAAUCUCUUGCUUGAACCUAAGUACUGUUGGAUGCUUAUGUAGAUGUCUGCUCAGUCUGUUUGCUAUAAAGGAAAAAAGUCCUAGUGCCCGCCCAGAUUUACAGUUUGUGGGUGUUUUGCUUGCUUACAGUCAUCCAGUUCAGAUCUGAUCCUUACCAAAAUCACACUUACUUUUUUAGGUUUUGUUUCAGUAGCAAUUUUUGAACUUUGUGAUGUGCUGUUACAUAAAAAAAAUCAUCAAUAUUUAAAGGCCUUAAGCAUCUAUGAGAUUUUUUCUAAGUUAUUACAGAAUGUAUAAUUUUAUACUCCAUUUAAUGUAUAUUGUACCAUCUGUAAUAUUGAUACAACAGAAAUUUGGCAAUUCCUUUUAGUGACACUGCAUAAGCAUGCUGACUGGAGAGGCUGAGGGAGUUCUGACUGUAUGCUUUGGUGCAUUGAAAUGAAAACCACACACUCUUUAUGGUAGUCAAAAAUAUAUAGAGGCAACCUUAUUUAAAAGUCCUGUGUGGUUACCAUACUCCCAGAAAAAGAAGGAAAUUAUUUUAUCAUUGCAAACCAUUGACAUGGCUAGAUGGUUAUAUAUUAAGCUCCAUGAUGAAUGAACACCCUGGAGUGCUCUGCCUGUCACAGUAGCCCCUGCUGUUCCAAAACCAUUUCAUUACCUCUGCUGUAUUAUUGCACAGGAGAGCUUAAAUAAAAUAAAUGACUGUUGGGAAUAAAACUGAGAAGUAUAUUCUGUCAUUCUGCUAAGAAAUAAUAAAAAAUGUUGGCAGGGAAAGAUAUUAUUUUCUGAUUAAAAUUUAAUUAGGAUAAACUGUUUGUAGCAGCAACUAGGUAUCUCAGUAUUUUAGGAUGGAUUUUAAUAUUGUAUAGAUUCAUGCUAACAGGUGCAGGACAGAAGGUAGCAUCUUAAAGAGAUUGUCUGGGACAGUGCAAAGUGUAAAUGUGCUUUUUUGUAAAAUCUGAAUAUGGCCUCUCUUUAGUCAAAAACCUACAACAUGCUUCUCAAUAUUUGUUUUCUUUGUUUCUUUGUUCUUAAACCAACACUGAAAAUACUGUAUUAUAUACAAGUGUAGCACAUGCAUAUCAAUAAGUGAAAAUAAAUGGAUUUUCAAAUAUACUGAAUAGAUGAUCUGCAGUAGAUUAAUGUUGUGAAUAUUCAUAGCAAGUGAAUAAAAUUGUAAUAUAAAAUAGA